rnacentral:lncRNA from 1 species
UGCUAAAGCUGUUACUGCUCUGCUCCGGGUAGCCCAGUGACAUUAGAUUUUUCUUCAAUUCUGGGAUGUGCUUCAUAUUUGUGAGACUCUGCACCAUCCUAUCAAACAUCCUCACUCAAAUGCUUCCAAUACUAGCGACCUUGCAUGGGUGAUCAUCUUCGAGUAUCAUGCUUCUUUUAUCAAUCUUAGUGUAUGUCAUGAACCAAGAUCGGUUUGGG